CACACUGUAGAGACGGCUGAAUACGGAACCAUCUGCAGCUGACGUUGUUCCGCACUACACGUGACCUCGUCAUGGCAAAGGCUGUCCCAUUCGUCAUCCUCGUCAUCGCUGUUCUUUGCAGCAAGGCAGCCGCGCAACUUGGUCUUGGCCUCUAUGGGGGCGUUGGACCGUAUUUUCGGCCAGGCUUCGGCUAUGGCGGAUACGGAGGCUAUGGAGUAUUUGGCGGCUAUGGAUACCCAGGCUUGAGAUUCGGCGGUGGCUACGGAGGGUUCGGACCUGGCAUUGGAUUUUUCGGUCGAUAACAAUGUGUGUACUUCAAUCACCCCAUAGAUGUGAACAAUUACAGCUCCUUGUGAACGCUUGAAUAGCAAAUACAUUCUUACAAAAGAAA